rnacentral:lncRNA from 1 species
ACAAAAUUUAUUUACCUAUUCUAUAUAGCUCCACUCCUAAUUAUGCGGCACCCUCAUAAGCAUUAUUUAGCCUCAACUUAUAAAGAUGUAGCAACGUUGGCUUCUUCAGCCAAUAGCAUUGGCUUACUACCCUUUGAAUUGGUGACCUUCUCCUCUAUUAUAUCUUUAUUGUGUGCCUUGGUAUUCAACGAUUCUCCAUUCAAACGCGCCAUGAGAUCUUCAUUCAACAAACCCAAUUUCCGUACCUGAGACUCACAUCGGGCAAUUUGGUUGUCACAUUCUUCCAACAUCUUCUGUCAUUCUUUUGUCAGUUUUAAAGGUAUCUCUGAAGGUGUUGUCGCUAAAACUGGUGUCACUAAAUUAUUGGCCUCCUUCUCUAAUGCAGCUAGUUUAGUCUGUAACAUCGUAACAUCUACUUGCAGCUGUUCUUGUCAUUCCUUCCAAUUGGUCUCUAUUCUUGUUUUCUCAGACACCAUAUUCGCCAUUUUUUCUUUAACCACAAAAGAAAACACAAUGCUUGUCAAGAGCCCCCCUCCUACUUCUUACUAUGGUCCAAUCAAUUAGAUCGACUCUCCCU